rnacentral:lncRNA from 1 species
AUCCGCACUCCACUUACCCUGAUUUUGCUUAAAUCCUAAUCCUUUUCUAAGUCGCCGAGCUUCUUCAUAACUCGCCGACUUUCAUCACAAUCACCAGUACUCUUUCCAAAGUCGCCGAGUCUACACCUACAUCGCCGACAUAUGGCAGACCAACCGUCACUACCUAGACUUACCAUGUCGGAGACCGAGGCUCUGGUCGUCGACAUUUUGAACGAAGACAUUGAUGAAGGCCUGAC